rnacentral:tRNA from 1 species
GGAGAGGUCGCAUAGCCUGGUUUAGUGCAGCAGCCUACUAAUCUGCCAACCCGUUAAACGGUUCGUGGGUUCAAAUCCCACCUUCUCCG